rnacentral:rRNA from 1 species
CUACGGGAUGCUCCAGUGGGGAAUAUUGGACAAUGGGGGGAACCCUGAUGCAGCAACGCCGCGUGGAGGAUGACGCAUUUCGGUGUGUAAACUCCUUUUAUAUGUCAAGAAAAUGACGGUAGCAUAUGAAUAAGUACCGGCUAACUCCGUGCCAGCAGCCGCGGUAAUACGGAGGGUGCAAGCGUUACUCGGAAUCACUGGGCGUAAAGGACGCGUAGGCGGGUUGGAAAGUCAGGUGUGAAAUCCUACAGCUUAACUGUAGAACUGCACUUGAAACUUCUAAUCUAGAGUAUGGGAGGGGGAGAUGGAAUUAGUGGUGUAGGGGUAAAAUCCGUAGAUAUCACUAGGAAUACCUAAAGCGAAGGCGAUCUCCUGGAACAUUACUGACGCUAAGGCGUGAAAGCGUGGGGAGCAAACAGGAUUAGAUACCCGGGUAGUC